AUCGCUUCUCGGCUCCGGCUAAGAUCAAAGUGUAGUAUCUGUUCUUAUCAGCUUAAUAUCUGAUACGACCCGCAUGCGGGUCCAGUAUAUUAAACUGAUUUUUGGACAUGGAUGAGAGUUAGGGGCUUGCUCCACUCACAUCACGGGUUGGCUCGGUAUUGCAGUACCUCCGAGAUCGGCCCACAUUUA